AUUCCAUGAUGAGGACACUUUCGUAAUAAUUCUUUGAAUCUCUUCUAUGCCUCAUAUAAGGAUUUGUCAUCCACUUGCUGGAAGGUAGUGAUCUCAGUUGGUAACU
rfam:Gossypium arboreum cultivar AKA8401 contig_1214_3, whole genome shotgun sequence.